UGACGUGGCUCAGUUGGUAGAGCAGCUGAUUCGUAACCAGCAGGCCGGAGGUUCAAGUCCUCUCGUCAG
rnacentral:tRNA from 1 species